UAACGCGUGGGUAACCUGCCUUAUACAGGGGGAUAACAGUCAGAAAUGGCUGCUAAUACCGCAUGAGACUACAGAGCUGCAUGGCUCAGUGGUCAAAGGAGCAAUCCGCUGAAAGAUGGACUCGCGUCCGAUUAGAUAGUAGGCGGGGUAACGGCCCACCUAGUCGACGAUCGGUAGCCGGACUGAGAGGUUGAACGGCCACAUUGGGACUGAGACACGGCCCAGACUCCUACGGGAGGCAGCAUG
rnacentral:rRNA from 1 species